rnacentral:tRNA from 1 species
AAAAAAAAGUGUCAAGGGAUGGGAAUCGAACCCACGACCUUCCGCUUACCGGGCAGAUGCCAUGACCAAUAGGCUAUUUCUUU